rnacentral:rRNA from 1 species
UACGAAGGGUGCUAGCGUUGUUCGGAAUCACUGGGCGUAAAGCGCGCGUAGGCGGUUAUUCAAGUCAGAGGUGAAAGCCCGGGGCUCAACCCCGGAACUGCCUUUGAAACUAGAUAGCUAGAGUCUUGGAGAGGUUAGUGGAAUUCCGAGUGUAGAGGUGAAAUUCGUAGAUAUUCGGAAGAACACCAGUGGCGAAGGCGACUAACUGGACAAGUACUGACGCUGAGGUACGAAAGCGUGGGGAGCAAACAGG